rnacentral:lncRNA from 1 species
AGUGCUGUAUUGUUGAGUUUUGUAUGAACUAAUCUAGCUUCUCUAAAAAAAAAAAAAAAAAAAAAAAAAAGAAAGAAAAGAAAGAAAGAAAAGAAAGAAAGAAAGAAAAAAAAAGAAAAGAAAAAAAAGAGAACCACAGCUUUGGACAAAAGUCUAUAGCCAGUGCAUUUGAAAACUCCCCUUGCACCAGGGCUGACUGUAGCUGGGGGAAGACAUUUUACUCAUUUGCUCUUUCCUUUCAUACAGUCAGCUGGUCCCUCUUCUCAGGUGUAGAUCACCUAUUAUAAUUUUACCUAAUUUUGAUACUCUGAUAAGGAAAGUCCCAGGACUUAUCAGCUGGGAUAGGCCUCACUUACAAGACAGCUCUGUUCAGUAUUUGGAAGAAAGCCUGACAGGUUUCUUCGGAAAAGUGGCCAUCCAUGGAAUGAAUGAAAUGUUCUCUUUCUAUUCCAGGGAUUGCAGUGGCAAAGCUAGGCUAGGUCUUGGAGGCUGGUGUAAGGCGAUGUGGGUGAAGGCAGGAGGCUGAUGGAAAGACUGGGGGGAAGAAAAGCCGAAAUGGAUUCACGGUGCCUUGGAUGAAGGACGAGAGGGGAACUGCAAGCUCCUUCAACUGGUUCUGUCCGGUGAGAAGUGAUCAAGCUUGGGCUGACAAGAGGCUCAGGGAGCCCUCACGUUCUUUCGCUUUUUUACCUGCCAAUCAAACUGCUACAAGACAACACCCUGAUCUGGCAUGGACAUCGCGGGUCCAAGCCUGUAGCCCCAAAUCGGAUAAUCUCUGCAGCUGAUAACAAGCAAAAGAGAAGCCAGGCAACAGCCAUAUUAAAGAAGAAAACAAUCAACUCUGAGAUCCAACUUAGAAAUAAUGUUUCAUUCAAGAUAAGGCUCGUGGCUUAGGAGAUUGUGACCUGGCUUGCAUCAUUCUAAGACUUCUAUCGUCUGUUUUCAAAACCCAAGGAGGACCUCCUUUUCUGUGUGAUAGUUCCUCAUGCUUUGCCAGCCACUGGGUCUUUAAGGAAGCUUGCCAAGAGUUCCCGGCUGGGAAGGACAGUUCGAGUUCAUCAUAGACAAUGAGCUGGCACCACAGUUUAAGUGACUCACCAACCUGGUUGCCCACUUCAAAAUGUCAAGAACCACACUAUCUAAUUGAAAGAACUGUGUUUUAGCAAAGUGUAAUUGGAUCGCCUGGCAAGAUCAUCUCAAACUAUGUCUCUGACCUUGCCUUUCAGUGGCUAUUUUGAGCACAAGAGGAGAAAGGAAAUGAUUCCUGAAUUAUAUCUUGUUUUUAAAAAUUAAGAUUAAUUAAUACUUGGUUUUAUGUUCAUUCCAUUGUAGGAACUUAGUGAUUAUUACAAAACAGUCAAAAUAGGUCAUAGCAAAAUGAACGUUUAAGAUUAGGUUAAAACAUUCCUCUGAAAUUUUAGUAUUCACUUUUGAAGUGUCAAUUACUAUAUUUCUGUAAUUUCUCAUUUUUUUCUUGGCUUAGAGUCAAGAUGAAAAAUGAUAUUUGAAUCAAAGACAUUGUUUUGUUAUAUAGCCACUCCUUUCUAAAAUGCAAAUCCACCCUCCCCUCACCAAUGCUUUAUUCUUUGUGCGCGCACACACACACACACACACACACACACACACACACACACACAGACAUACACAGAACCAGCACCCAAAUGGUAGAGGAGGUCCUUCCAAGACUUCUAGGACCUGGAUCAUGUAAGCAGUAGAUGAGAAAAUGAAGUAAGAGAUAUAGAGUAAUAACAAUAAAAGUCAAUGAUUUCAUUUUACAAAAAAGUCAUUGUGUAGUACUCAGAUAUUUUUAAGAGCAAGUAUUAUUAUGACUAAAGUAUAUUAUACUUCUAAAUUAUUAUGAUUCUCAUCUAAUUUCAAGCCACACAUAGGCGCCAUUUGAAAGCAUUUUGUGUUACAACCUAUCAACAAAAAUCAACUAAUAGUUUUAUAACGUGCAUAGGUUUACCCCAUGGGGAAUUAAAAUUUUUAUCUGCAAGUAUUUCUGUUGUUGUGAGACUUUAGGACAAGACAACAUUUGGUGUUAACAUAGAAGAAUAUUCUAUGGCUUUUUUAGCUUUAAAGUUCAUUACUCUAAAAUAAAGUACACGUGGUAUUUUUUUCUUCCUAGUGUUCUCUUAUUAUAUGUAGAGUAUUUUCGGUUGUUGUUUUUAACGUAUACAUUAUUUUUAUUAAGUCAUUUCAUAAAAGAUAAGAUAUAUACUAAUAGACCCUUGGUUUUCUCCUAAUUUAAUUAUUUCAAGUCAAGCAAAAUUGGGCAAUUUUCUUUCAGGAAAAAAAAAAUAUUGAGCAUGAUUUUGAGGUAAAACUGAUUAUUUACAGCAUCUUUUCUCUAAUAGGCUAACAUUUAUGAUGGAUCUUAUUUCAAAGUUGAUUAUUCUCAAAGAAAAGUGGAGAUAUUAGAAUUUCCGAGUAAAUUGCAUUGUUUUAAAAAGUACUUUAAUGCAUUGUUCACAUUGUUGCCAGCUAUUGACCAAAAAAGAGAAGAAGAAAAAAGAAAUAAAAAAAGCAGUAUCUGCUCCAAACGUCAAGUUUUGCAGUUUGAAAGACUUGUACAUUAUAAUUGUUUUUUUCUUUUUUGGAAAGCAGUAGUAAUUAAUACCAAAGGCAUAGACAAUUUAGGGCCAUAACCUCCCUUCCCCCCUCUCCACCUUUUUUUUUUUUUUUUUUUUUUUUUAACUUUAACCAUGAUAGGCAUCUCUGCAAGGUAGGUUUUAACAUAUUUUUUUCCUAAUUUUUUUCCCUCCAUUCAGUAAGAAGGAUAAGCUUUUAGAGUACCCAGUCACCGUGGUAACUGCCAAAAAAAUUCUCCUGAAGUUUGAAGAGGUCAGCUAGCAGGGUCAACAACCCUGGCCUCUCUCUGAGCUCGGUCUAGCAUGCCCCAGCCUGCGGUUGGAGUGUCAGGCCAGAUCUGACCCUGGGAGGUGGACCAUUCUGGCUCUGAUAUAAAUUUUUCGAGUCAGUUCAUGGCCUGGACUCUCCAGGUGGCCUCCAAAAUCGAUUUUGACCCCCUGACCCUGUCUCACGGAGGCAUAGCAUCCACCCUAAGUAAGGAUUUAGCCAGGAAUGACAGCUUUCCACUGAGUGUUAUUGGGGACAGUAUAAACAGUUUGGAAAGCAAGUAAGGAGGUGUGAGGGCUAGCAAUCAUUAAAAGCACAUUAAAAAACAAUUUUUAAAAAUCUUUAUUAGAGAAAGUUGUAAAUGCAUAUCUGUUACAGAAUUCCUGUGAUUUGUAGAGUUUUCUAGUCAGUUUUGAAUAUAAAUAGGUCACAUAUCUUUAUCUUUUUGCAUACUUUGUUACAAAUAUGCAAAUAAGAUAGGCAUACUUGCUACAAAAUAGGUACAGCAGGAAUGUAAUAUGUUCAGAAAAGGCAAACUGGUUAUUAAAACACAUUAACAGGUAAGGAGUUUCUAAUAUUUUAAAUACUAAAAUUUUACAUGUGUAUUUUGAAGUUUUUAAAAUGGAAAAAUAAAGAACCUUUAAAAAACCCAACAGUGUGGAAUAAAGAUAAACUUGUUGCACUCAAGGUACAUUUCUACUUUGUAAAGCAAGAAGCCAAUACACUCAGUUGGAUAAAAAUGAGAGAAAAAUUGUAAAUAUAGAGAGUUACAGCUUAUAGAGCUGAAGAGGAAUAAAACAAAAAAAAGUGUCUCUGAAUAACUUUAUGUAUUUUCAACAGUUUAAGAUAUCAGAAACUUGGAAAAUAAAUAUGAUAUAUAUAUAAAUCAUCAGUGAUUAUUUCCUUUUCAUUCCCCCCCGCCCCCAGGAUGCCACCGUGAGUGUUUGAUUUUCUCUAGGAAAGUAGAAUUCUCUUUGAGAGUUCUAGCCUGUGAACUCAGUAUGUAAAUGUGGCCAUCAAGAAGACAGAACUGCCAAGAGGAAAGAUUAUGAAUGUUUUUCUUCCUUAAAACCAUUCACAGUGUUUCUUCUUCCAGUGCUUUACUCAGACUUCUCCCCUUUUCCCAGCUCUGUUGAAAAUGGCUUCAAAAGCAACACUGCAGUGGCUAAACCAAUUGUACUGUGAAGUUGUUGAGAUGCCAUUUCAUCUGAAUCCUUCGUAAAAAUUAGAUUUUUAAGUAGGGGUGAAUAUCCUUUUGGGAGAGGGAAUGGGAGGGUAGAAGAAGGGGGGAAAGGACAGAGCA